rnacentral:rRNA from 1 species
CCCCAGACUCCUACGGGAGGCAGCAGUGGGGAAUAUUGCACAAUGGGGGAAACCCUGAUGCGGCGACGCCGCGUGAGUGAAGAAGUAUUUCGGUAUGUAAAGCUCUCUCAGCAGGGAAGAAAAUGACGGUACCUGAUUAAGAAGCCCCGGCUAACUACGUGCCAGCAGCCGCGGUAAUACGUAGGGGGCAAGCGUUAUCCGGAUUUACUGGGUGUAAAGGGAGCGUAGACGGCAGUGCAAGUCUGAAGUGAAAUGCCGGGGCUUAACCCCGGAACUGCUUUGGAAACUGUGCAGCUAGAGUGCAGGAGAGGUAAGUGGAAUUCCUAGUGUAGCGGUGAAAUGCGUAGAUAUCACGCAGAACUCCGAUUGCGAAGGCAGCAUACCGGCGCCCGACUGACGCUGAGGCACGAAAGCGUGGGUAUCGAAUAGGAUUAGAUACCCUAGUAUAA